AAAAAACCUAGCUUUUGCAGCUGGCUUUUUGUGAGUUUACAUGAAAUUGUUGUGGGGAAUGAAUUAAUCAGUUUGUAGAGUUGGCUCUUGCCGAAAAAAGAUACUCACCGAAAACAGCAGUCCUUUUCCACUUGAAAAACAGACUGAAAAGUUUUAUUGCAUUACAUGGAGACCCCACGAACAAUUUCAGUGAAGCAAAAUAACUGAGCUACCAGAGAUCAAUGAGAAGCAAGUGUAGCAUGACAGAAGGACAUCUGCUACCCUCCAGUGCAUGGUUUCAAAACCCAGAUGGGCCAAAGAGGUUUCAGCUCUGAUGCAUGUCAGCACAAUUCGCACUGCUCGGCCCAAUGAAACACCUAAGUGAAAAGGAAAUUAUAAAGAAAAAAAAAAGAAAACAUUUCAAAAAAAUGAUCCAGGUGGAACAGGAGGAGACUGGAAGGGGAUGAACUUCUAUCAUAGAUUUCUCAGUGGGGGAGCAAAGAUGAAACAGCUGGCAGAAAAUCAUAUCGGGAACAGCCUUAAUAAGUUGGAGUUGCGAGGUUUUUUUGAAGUGUUACUUUUUUAAAUGAUUUUUUUUUUUUCAUUUUAGCACUUUAUAUUAGAGUUCUUCACUCAUAUCCAGUCUUCUGAAAACUUCAUUAAGGAUGCUGUGUUUUAUGACGCCCUCUUGCUCUUUUAAAUUGAAAGUGCAUUAUUCUCAUUUGUUGCUAUAAACUACAAAAAGUGUCUGUCAAAAAAAUUUACCAGCUACAUCAUUACUUCUUGUUUUGCAUUAUCUAAAUAGCUCUGUAGAAUAUUUGCCAUUAAUUAAUGAAACAUUCACUGAACUGCAUGAAGUUGACUAACAAACAUACAAUGAAAAUAUGCUAUGGCAUUUGUUCUAGGAGUUUUCUUCUGAUACCAUAGGUGAUCUGGAAUCUGGCAAGAGAUCUUGCAUUUUAAAGUAGUUUGCUUCCUCUCAUUUAUAUUUCCAUCUCUGACAAAGCUAGCACUAUUCUCAUUCCCAUGUUAUUAAUAAACACUGAAGAAAAUUUCUAUUCAUUAUCUCUGACUAAUGCUAUUUUACAGCUUUCAAAGAUCCUCUACAACCUGUCAAAUUGGUGCAUGAGAGAAUGGUGGUUUUAUAUUAUCAGACUUCACUCCUAGCUAGCCAGGCAUUCAUGGCUGAGAAGUUUACCAUAUCAAUUG